GUGCUCAAUUUGGCAGCACAUUUACUAAAAUUGGAACAAUGCAAAGAAGAUUAGCAUGACCUCCCCGAAGGAUGACGUGGAAAUUUGCAAAGCAUUCCAUAUUUUA
rnacentral:snRNA from 1 species